AUCGUUUUCGCUUCUGAUAUUCAGCAACUCGAACGACAACCUUAUCCUCUGCGCCCUGAGACAAAUCUCAUCUCUGCAGGCCCAACUGCCCUCCUCUCACUUCCUUGCUCCACCUCAAAUUCUUCUUGUAUUCCCUGAUCAAAGAUGGCUGGUCGACUAAAAUUCAAGUUCCCCUGAAGAUUCCUUGCGCAGAUAUUUGGAUUCAUGGGCAUCGACUACAGCUCUCCUACGCUCGCUACCACUCUUAUGAAUUUUGUCCUGGCUUUCACUUUCAUACUCACCAUCAUUUUCAGGAUGGAAAAAUUGGCAUGGAACAGCACGAGCAGCCAGGCAAAGGUUGUCGGAACCAUAGCAUCAAUCACGGGAGCGUUCAUAGUCACUUUGUACAAGGGUUCGCCAGUCACUAUCCCGAGAACCCCUAAUCUUCACCUCUCUCCACAGUCAAGUUGGGUCGUUGGUGGGUUCUUGUAGGCGAAGGCCUUAUGAUCUCCUUGGGUUUCAUUGUCCAGGUUAACGAGACCCCACUGAUCAUCCCAUCAUAUUUCAAGGUAUUCCCGGAACGUAAUUAGAAUAAAUAAAACACUUCAUUUAAUCUCUCUCCAGUCCAUCUCGCAGGAAUUGAUCAUCGGGGGUUUCCUGGUGGUGCUAAUCAUCACAUUCUACAUCAGCCUCUUCUCGGCCGUCCUCGCUGCCCUGCUCUCACUUAUCACAGUGAGGGACCCCGGGACGUGGGCCCUAAAGGUCGAUUCAGGCUUAGUAGCAAUCAUUUACUCGACGCUAGCGGGUACUUUGUUCCGGGUCACUGUGAUCAUGUGGUGCUUAAAGAGGAGAGGACCCGUGUACGUUGCAAUGUUCCAGCCCCUCGGAAUAAUCUUUGCCGUGGUGCUUGGAGUCAUCGUCUUGGGUGACUCAAUAUGCUGUGGAAGGUGUCAAAUGAAUGAUUGUCGUGUUGUUUAUGAUGUUCUGCUCCUCUUUUGUCUAGUCAAGAAUGUCCCACCUUUUCCUAUAAUGCUUUGUACAAUAUUAUUUUUCAUAUGUUUGAUUGUACUUUUGGCCAUGUGAUUCUAUUCCGAUGAAUACAAGGAGAACAGAAUAUAAUGCUGUAUAUAAAGGUCGAAUUAAUUAUCUAUAUUGCAGCUUGAUUGGAGCAGUGUUGACAAUGGGAGGAUACUAUGCAGUGAUGUGGGGGAAGGCCAAAGAGGUAGAAGACAUGGCCAGUGGACCCAAAGCAUUCGCUACUCUGCCACAAACAUGCCAAAAGAUCCCAUUGCUAAUAGCUCAAGAGCAAAGCUGACGAAAGGAAAAAGAGGAACAUGAUACAGAUCGAGCUCAUACUUAGCAUUGUAAGCGUACAGAUGUUCCAAAUUUGUAAAUCCAAGCGUGCUGCUAAUU